UACGUAGGUGACAAGCGUUGUCCGGAUUUACUGGGCGUAAAGAGCGCGCAGGCGGUCGUUCAAGUCGAGUGUGAAAGCCCCCGGCUCAACUGGGGAGGGUCACUCGAUACUGAUCGACUCGAAGGCAGGAGAGGGUAGUGGAAUUCCCGGUGUAGUGGUGAAAUGCGUAGAUAUCGGGAGGAACACCGGUGGCGAAGGCGGGUCUCUGGAACGGUACUGACGCUGAGACGCGAAAGCGUGGGGAGCAAACAGG
rnacentral:rRNA from 1 species